AUGAUGGCUGCCCCCAAGGGUCUUCUGCUGGUUGCUCUAGUCUUGCUACUUGGAUAGCAGAUAAGAAAAGAAACAGCUUGCCGAAACACGGACACUCCCUGCACUUACGAGAUCAAGAAAAAAACUGGCUGAUGGCCGGGCCCGGUGCCUCAAGCCUGUAACCCCAGCACUUUGGGAGGCCAAGGUGGGCAGAUCACUUGAGGCCAGGAGUUCGAGACC
rnacentral:lncRNA from 1 species